GUGGUAGCCAUUUCUCAGGCUCCCUCUUUGAAUUCAAAUGCUGAUUCCUUGUCACCCGUGGUCACCAUGGUAGGCACGGCUACUACCCUC